AGCCGGUGAUGUAAAUAAAAUAGUUUUUCUGACACCUACUAUGACAAUUGAACUUCAUGAUUCUAAGAUUUUAAACUGAGGCUU